rnacentral:rRNA from 1 species
UUGUUCGGAUUUACUGGGCGUAAAGGGCUUGUAGGUGGCCAACUAAGUCAGACGUGAAAUCCCUCGGCUUAACCGGGGAACUGCGUCUGAUACUGGAUGGCUGGAGUGUGGGAGAGGGAUGCGGAAUUCCAGGUGUAGCGGUGAAAUGCGUAGAUAUCUGGAGGAACACCGGUGGCGAAGGCGGCAUCCUGGACCAUUACUGACACUGAAAAGCGAAAGCCAGGGGAGCAAACGGG